rnacentral:lncRNA from 1 species
UUUAAGAAUUAACUUGAACCAUGAUCGGUAAUUUUAAAGGUUGUAGGUAAAAAUCAAAGUUAAAACUUGUAUCUGCGGCCCAACCAAUCACCCCCUCCCUUUUAAUAUAGUUAUAGUCAAAUCUUUUCAUUUGGUUUUACAUUUCUGUCUAUUUCCUUGUUAUUAUGUUAUAUUUAGUCGUUUAUUUCAAUUCGGAUUUCGGCCUCCUACAAUACACACUAACGAAUAAUUGAAUUUGUUUUUCGGCACGGUCGUUUUUUUAUCUUCAGUUCAACAUAAGCAUCUUAAUUUCGCU